AAACACGGACUGUGCCGGGUGAUAUGCUGGGUCCCAAACCCUUCCCAGACCCAGCCCUGGCACUCACGGAGAUCCAGCUAGGAAGUCCGGGAAAAGGGCAUCGGGGAAAUAAACGAAGGCAAGCACAGUGGAUGAACGUGCUGCCGCCGCUCCCCACGCCUCUUGUGGUGGACAUCCCUUACGCUUCCUCAUGGGGGACGUCCCUUACGCUUCCUCAUGGGGGACGUCCCUUACGCUUCCUCAUGGGGGACGUCCCUUACGCUUCCUCAUGGGGGACGUCCCUUACGCUUCCUCAUGGGGGACGUCACUUACGCUUCCUCAUGGGGGACGUCACUUACGCUUCCUCAUGGUGGACGUCACUUACGCUUCCUGGUGCCCUCCCAGAUGACCCCCCUUGGGCCACUACACACGACCGCACCUGGCAAGAGCAGACAAGGAUGGUCUACUCACCGAGCCUGCAAGGCUGGUGUGCAGGACGGCCCAGCUACGCUCCCCAGGUGUGUGCAAGACCGGGGACGAGUCAGUCAUUGGGAGGAAUUAGUGGCGGGCCCUUGGAAAACCACUACAGACUGAAGCAAUUUCACUUCCACUGGGGAGCAGUGAACGAGGAGGGCUCAGAGCACACGGUGGACGGCCACACGUACCCCGCAGAGCUGCAUUUAGUUCACUGGAAUUCUGUGAAAUACCAAAAUUACAAGGAAGCUGUCCUGGGAGAGAACGGCUUGGCUGUGAUAGGCGUGUUUUUAAAGCUAACCCCUUGUGUGUCUGCCACGCAGCUCGGGGCCCCUCAUCAGACGCUGCAGAGGCUGGUGGACAUCUUGCCGGAAAUAAAACAUAAGGGCUUCUGGGAGCUUCUCCCAUAGCACAGUGUAUCAGAGAGCCCCACAGUUGGACUCCUGGUUCCAGAGCCCCGAUCCACCACUCCUGAGCUGCGCACCUCUGAGCCUCAGCUUCCUCGCCUGUGAAAUGGAGAUAUUAAACAUCCACAGUAGCCCGGGCGUGGUGGCUCACACCUGUAAUCCCAGCACUUAGGGAGGCAGAGGUGGGUAGAUCACCUGAGGUCAGGAGUUCAAGACCAGCCUGGCCAACAUGGCAAAACCCCGUCUGUACUAAAAAUACAAAAAUUAUCUGGAUAUAGUGGCACACUCCUGUAAUCCCAGCUACUCAGGAGGCUGAGGCAAGAGAAUCGCUUGAACCCAGGAGACAGAGGUUGCAGUGAGCCGAGAUCGUGCCACUGCACUCCAGUCUGGGCGACAGCUCGAGAAUCCGUCUCCAAAAAAAAAAUCCACACGAGAGCAGCAUUCUCACCAUGUAAUGGAAUAAGGAGCAUGUCUGGUUCUUGGUUAAGUGUGCAGUUGAGUUUAAGGCCCAGCUGUGGCCAGCACUCACACACACACGUCUGCUGUGGAAUGCACAGGCUGCUGCUGCCCGUCACAAAACGAAAAUCUGCCAGCCCAAUCACUAAGGUUAAAAUCGCUUUUUGUUGCUGCCGGUACUUUCAGUCAGCUGAUUCCUAGAGAGAGCUAUUACCUUUUGGGAGUCCGUGAAACUUUAGAAUGAUGGCCUUGUGAUGGAAAAUGCUAGAAGUGUGGUUGAAUCUAACUCCUGACUGGAGGGCAGUGCAGGGCAGGACGGGGCUGUGGUGGCCUCAGGCUCAAGGGCAGAUGGCCUUGGCUUCGAAUCCCAGCUCUGCCACUCACCCCCAAGGACUCAGCAGUCUUCACCUAGGGACGGGCUCACCUGCAGCUUCUGGGCUGCUUUCCUGGUUUCCUCCAGUUAAGGAACAAACUGUCCUGAACUAGGGCAGGAAAGACCAGAGUCAUGUAGUCCCCAUCAUCUCUCCUGGUUCCAGGCUGGUCCGGGCCCUGCUGUGGGACUGACUCGGCAGAGACCCUCCAGGAAUGCCUGCCACGGUCGCUCCCUGGGGACCCAGCUGGCUUCUAUGCAGUGCUCAGGGCUCCCAGGUGCAUUUCCAGAGACAGCCAGAGGGACAUGAUGUCCUUUUCUGCCCUGGCUUCCAGAGUCACAAAGCACUGCUCCUGCAGCAUCCUGUUCACCACUCCCACCAGGAGCACCUGCCCAGGCUCAGGGCAAGGGGACAUCACCCCACACCUCGGUGGGAGGGGUUCAAAGAAGCGACAGCCCUCCACAUAAAUUAUGACACUGAAUCUUCCAAUCACUCCACGAGGCAGGGCCUGUGAUUCAUCUGUCUUGCACAUACAGGGAAACCAAAGCUCAGAGAGGCAGAGAAGGCCUUGCCCGGGCACACAGCUGGCAGGUGAAGAGCCCGUUUUAAAACCCAGGAAGUGGGUCCAUGGAGCCUGAACUCCCAAUCAUCCCAGCGCCCACCUCCCACGUGCAGUCAGAACCCAGGCUGAGCCGCAGCCCCUGCUGCACACUUCUGAGCUUUUCAGCAGCUUAGAGGGAAACACAGGCAGUGUCUGUAAUGAAAACCACAUCAGGCGCUGCCUGGAAGCCCAGACCCCCGCCCCCACCCUCACCCCCAGCGCCAUCCCAUCUGCACGGGCCCCUACCAGUGCCGACCUCUCACUAUGCUCUCAGCUCCCAGCAUGCAGGCACAGCCCCAUUGUGGCCCCGGUGACCCUGGGCAGACGAUACCAGAAUGGUGACCUCGAGGCUUCACCUUUGACCCUCUCACCAUAGCCAGAAGUUUUGGCAAAAACUGCCCACAGAGGGUCCCCACCCUCCAUGCCUGGACAAGCUGCAAGCUCCUCAGGGUGCUGGGGCCCCCCCUCGUCCCUGCCUUCACAAGAGUCAGGGCUACAGGGAAGUUGUCUGCCUUGUGGAGUUGGAAACAGCCCACCAGGUCCAGGGGAUCCAGGGAAUGGCUCUAUGCCCUUGUGGGGGCUCUUCUAGCUUUGGUGACAGCAGCAGCAGUACCUACCGAGCCCCACGCCCAUGUGGCAGGCACUGACGGAAGCCCAUUACAGCCACCACGCUGCCUGUCAUUCACCUGGGGAAACUGAGACUCUAAGAGGACAAAACAAGGGCAGAGUUAGGCUGGGUGGGGCUUGAUGUUCAUAAGAUGUGGGGUCCUCUUUAAGAGAAAGAAGACAAAACCAGGAAUAGGGCAGUGGCUCACGCCUAUAAUCCCAGCACUUUGGGAGGCUGAGGCGGGCAGAUUACCUGAGGUCAGGAGUUUGAGACCAGCCUGACCAACAUAGAGAAACCCCAUCUCUAUUAGAAAUACAAAGUAAGCCAGGUGUGAUGGCGCAUGCGUGUAAUCCCAGCUACUAGGGAGGCUACGGCAGGAGCAUCGCUUGAACUGGAGAGGUGGAGGUUGUGGUGAGCUGAGAUCGUGCCAUUGCACUCCAGCCUGAGCAACAAGAGCGAAACUCCGUCUCAAAAAAAAUAAAUAAAUAAAAGAAAAGAAAAGUGGAAGAAGUCACCAACCCACUUCCGCCAGCAAAGGCUUGUGGUGCUUUCCACAGGUAGCUGGGCCAUCCGUGCUCAGACACGGGAUGUGAUGGUCUUCAGCCUCAUUGGUGUGCUCACCGGUGUCCCAUUCUAGCUGCCUGGGGCUCACCACACGCAUAAAGGACACGUGGGCAGCCAUGCGCCCCUUUGACCCCUCCAGUCUGCUGCCCACCUGCUGGGAUUACUGGACCUACGCGGGCUCUCUCACCACCCCGCCACUGACGGAGUCGGUCACCUGGAUCAUCCAGAAGGAGCCCGUU